AGAUUGAACGCUGGCGGCAGGCCUAACACAUGCAAGUCGAGCGGUAGAGAGGUGCUUGCAUCUCUUGAGAGCGGCGGACGGGUGAGUAAUGCCUAGGAAUCUGCCUAGUGGUGGGGGAUAACGUUCGGAAACGGACGCUAAUACCGCAUACGUCCUACGGGAGAAAGCGGGGGACCUUCGGGCCUCGCGCCAUUAGAUGAGCCUAGGUCGAUUAGCUAGUUGGUGAGUAAUGGCUCACCAAGGCGACGAUCCGUAACUGGUCUGAGAGGAUGAUCAGUCACACUGGAACUGGGACACGGUCCAGACUCCGUACGGGAGCAGCAGGUGGGAAUAGUUGGACAAGUGGGACGAAAGCCUGAUCCAGCCAUGCCGCGUGUGUGGAAG
rnacentral:rRNA from 1 species